AAUGGGGUAUUUUAUUAAGAAUAUUGAGUUUGCGUCUCAAAGGAGGAUUAUUCUAUCUCCCUGUUA
rnacentral:tRNA from 1 species